rnacentral:lncRNA from 1 species
UGCAACCCUUGGUUCCUAUGAGUGGAACAUUACGAAACUCUCCACAACUCAUAAUGACAUUGCGUACGUUCAUCCUGUAAGCUUGCCACUUGAUAUCAUAGGAGGUGAGUGACAUAAUCCUCUGAGUCCACUUAUGAGUGUUCUGAGUAUCCACAAAAGGUCCACUGGUUGGUAGAAAGGACAAGAACCAUCUGAGUAGCAAUGGGAGACAACACCUGAUAACUCCACCCUUACCAUGCCUGCUGUGUAU